AUGAGUGUGGUGCCUUCAGGCAGCGGGAAAGCUUCUGAGGUGGGUGGGAAACUGGCUUCUUCUGUGGAGAACGUCACCCUGGGUUUCUACUCCACACCAUAUGCACGCCCAGCUGCAGCCCCGAUGGGAGCCCAGCUGCAGGACGGCGAUCGGGAAGCCGGCUCGCAGACAGCGGUGGGCUGUGGGGUCAUCCUGGCCAACUUUGCUCAGUCAGCUAAACUGAACUACAAUGAACCAUGUGGACGCAGCUCAGCCUCCAUCCACGGCCCAUCCGUCUACCCCUUGGGCUCCUGUUGCACAAGUGCUACCAAUGCCACUUCUGUGACGCUGGGCUGCCUGGUCACGGGCUACUUCCCGGGGCCAGUGACCAUGACCUGGGACACAGCGUCCCUGAACAGGAGCACCCUGACCUUCCCUGCCGUCCAAAACUUGAACUCCAGCCUCUACACCACCAGCAGCCAGGUGACAGUCUCGGGCGAGUGGUCCAAGCAGAAGUUCACCUGCAGUGUGGCUCACGCUGCGUCCAACACCACCACCACCAAGGCCGUCACUGGGUGCACCAAGAGCUUCCCCGACCCCUCUGUGAAGCUCUUUUACUCCUCGUGCGACCCCCGUGGUGACACCCAUACCACCAUCCAGCUCCUGUGCCUCAUCUCCGGCUAUACCCCAGGCAAAAUCAAGGUCACCUGGCUGGUGGACGGGCGUGAGGCCACAGACGUGUUCCCACACACCGGCCCCGAAAGGGUGGAGGGCAAACUGGCCUCCACUUACAGCGAGCUCAACAUCACGCAGGGCCAGUGGGUGUCCCAAAUCACCUACACCUGCCGGGUCACCUAUUAUGGCUUCACCUACGACAACCACGCCCGCAGGUGCACAGCCGAGUCUGAGCCCCGUGGCGUGAGCGCCUACCUGAGCCCACCCACACCCCUCGACCUGUACGUCAACAAGUCACCCAAGAUCACCUGCCUGGUGGUGGACCUGGCCAGCGACAAGGACAUGACACUGACCUGGUCCACGGAGAACAAGGAUCUAGUCUAUCCAGACCCACCCAUCGCCAAGACUCAGUUCAACGGGACGGUCACCGUCACGUCCACCCUGCCGGUGGACGUCAGUGACUGGAUUGAGGGCGAGACCUACUACUGCAAAGUGGCCCACCCACACCUGCCCAAGGAGAUCCUGCGCUCCAUCUCCAAGGGCCCUGGCAAGCGCAUGAUUCCCGAGGUCUACGUGUUCCCGCCACCCAAGGAGGAGCUCAAGACCAAGGGCGAGGUCACCCUCACCUGCCUGAUCCAGAACUUCUUCCCCGCGGAUAUCUCCGUGCGGUGGCUGCGGAACGGCGCCCCGAUGCAGGCGGACCAGCACACCAGCACGGGGCCCCACAGGGUCCGCGGCUCCAGCCCCGCCUUCUUCGUCUACAGCCACCUGGCGGUCAAGCAGGCCGACUGGCAGCAGAGGAGCAUGUUCACCUGCCAGGUGGUCCACGAGGCCCUGUCCGGCUCAAGGACCCUCGAGAGAUCGAUGUCCAUCGACCUUGAGCUGGCCCUGGAGGACCUGUGCGCAGAGGCGGCCGAGAGCGAGGAGCUGCAGGGCACACGGACCAGCCUCCUCACCUUCGUGGCGCUCUUCCUGCUCAGCGUGAGCUACAGCGCUACCGUCACCCUCUGCAAGGCGAAGUGGGUCCUGGCCGCCGUCCGGCAGGAGCAGCCGCGGGCUUCCCGCGACUACACAGACGUUGCACAGCCCUGCCUUUCGCCUCCUCGUGUGAGCAGCCCCGAGGCGGCCAGCUCUACCCUGGGCCGGAGGAAGGAGCAGAACAGCCCCCAAGGGGCCAGAGUCAGGGGCCCAGCGACCAGCACACGGGCGCCCAGAGGCCCCAGCUCAGCCCCAAGGGCGAAGGCGACAAGGGGGCCCACCUAUCACAGCCCCACACCACCCCACUUUGGGCUCCCUCAGGGCGGCUCCAGGGGACACCGGGGCUUCAGACCCCCGGAAGGUGCAGGGCCCCAGGACCUCACGGGCCGGCAAGAGGAAGGAUCCUCAGGGCCAGUCAACCACGAUGCAGGCGCCUCUGGUGCUCAUGAGAGCGGUGGGCGGGGGGUGGACCAGAGUCCGGCGGCCCGGGCGGAAGUGCCCCUCGUGGGCGAUGCUGUGGGUGUGCCAGGGUCCGUGAUAAAACGCCAGAAGUCCCUUGACCAAGCCAGCCUUGAGCAGGUGGGUCUCAGAAGCUAUUCAGGCCUCAUCUCCUCCACAGCCAGGCCAUACUACGGCCUCCUGGGAUGGGAGGAUGGAGGACAGGUACCAAUACAGAGACAAGAGGGAGAAAGGCAGACGGCCAUUGACCCAGAAGACACAGAGCAGGAUGCUGUACACAUGGGCUGA